rnacentral:lncRNA from 1 species
GGGCGACAUGAGCUUGUGCUUUGUUCACGAGUUUGUGCUUUGUUCACGAGUUUGUGCUUUGUUCAACGAGUUUGUGCGUUGUUCAACGAGUUUGUGCUUUGUUCGACGAGUUUGUUCGUUUUCCCACUGCGGUAUUCAUUGUUCAAUUAUUUUGUACGUACUUCAAAUACUUGAUAUCGCCUUGAGCUGGUUGGAUCUCUGCUCUACACUUUGGACGGGUGGGCCGCGUCGGUUGCAUUCGUAUCGCUGCGUGAGAAGGUGAAGUUCAUGGACCGCAGUGAUAAGUGCCGCAUGACAUGAGCCUUGCGACCCAAGGUGUUCCUUAAUCUAAAGUAAGAGUCACAGGUUCUAACGCACGCGCAUCCAACCCUCGAUCUAGGCGUCAACAAUCCCGGUUAUCGUUACGUUGGCGGCUUCUCUCUGUGGAGGGAGUUGUUUUACCUUUGUCUAGUCAAAUUUAGCUGUUUAAUACUUGUCUCGGUAUUUUCCAGGGACUGACUUUUAUGAAAUGGGAGGAUUAUAUGUGUCUAUGGAUUGACUUUUAUGCCCCUAUUAUCGUUAAGCUACUCUGAAUUUUUUCUUCUGAACCUUGCAUUUGUUCUUUCUACAUCUUUUUUGCGUGGCGAAAAUGCCGUAACUUCAUUGUUAGGCUGCCAGGCAAUGGUUCAUCGAAAGGAGCGUCCGAAAGGGCUUGUUUUUUUGGCCAGCACCAAGUUGGUAAAUUUGAACUGAGAAAUUAAAUUCGGGCUGCAACUUGGAAGUUGUUUUUGGGCAUUUAUUCAGUUGCCCGGGGGACUCGCCUCCCUUUGAGGCUGCGCAAGCUCGCUGGACAAAGACACACCGGGUGUGGAGUUAUGUAGAAUUGAUUUGGGCUUAAAAACCCAUGCCGCUGAAGGGCGGAGGGUCUGUUUUGAAAAUUUUGCCAAACUCCCUUAAACUUAUGGUCAGCCCCUUUUCGCAGAAUAGGGAAAAUAAUUUUCUUUGGUCUUUUACCUGCUUAGGCCAGGGCGGGCCCUUUUGGUUGGUUGACCUGUUUUUUUUCGGCGUGUGGGCGAGGGUUUUUGAGGAGUACCCAAUAUUUUUUUUUUGGUCAAAAUAACCCGGGGUUGCCGAGGGCACAUAAUGGGGGGAAGGAUUUGGUAAUUUUUUAUGAACAAGACCCCCACAUCCUUUUUUUUUUCGGUUUAUGUUUUUCUGGGGGCGAUUUGUAAUCGGCGUUUUUUUUGAUUAAGGGGAGGGGGGGGCUAGGUGGCCGCACGGGAAACGUAAAAAUUUGGCCGGGGGGAUGUUCCAAUAACAGGUGGGGGUGUUUGUAGUCUAUUGUUUGGUAUCACGAAAUGGUAGUUAGGCUGAGCUUUUUUGAUAGCUGAGGAGAGGG